AUUGAACGCUGGCGGCAUGCCUUACACAUGCAAGUCGAACGGCAGCGCGGGAGCAAUCCUGGCGGCGAGUGGCGAACGGGUGAGUAAUACAUCGGAACGUGCCCAAUCGUGGGGGAUAACGCAGCGAAAGCUGUGCUAAUACCGCAUACGAUCUACGGAUGAAAGCAGGGGAUCGCAAGACCUUGCGCGAAUGGAGCGGCCGAUGGCAGAUUAGGUAGUUGGUGAGGUAAAGGCUCACGAAGCCUUCGAUCUGUAGCUGGUCUGAGAGGAAGACCAGCCAGACGGGGAGUGAGGAAGGGCGCAGACUUCGACGGGAGGACGCGGUGGGGAAUUUUAGACGAGGGGGGAAUGCCUAAUACAGCCAAGCCGCGUGCAGGAUGAAGGCCUUCGGGUUGUAAACUGCUGUUGUACGGAGCGAAACGGUCUUUUCUAAUAAAGAAGGAUAAUGACGGUACCGGAAGAAUAAGCACCGGCUAACUACGUG
rnacentral:rRNA from 1 species